rnacentral:rRNA from 1 species
AUGGUUUUGGGCCGACGGAUGGGGCCACCGCGGGCUCCAAUUAUUCCCGGAGCACGUCGUGGUCAUGGCGUCCAGUUGGUGAACUCGACACAUAGACGUACUACCCCUCUACAAGCUGCAGCCUUAUCUCGUUUCGGAAAACCCUCGGCCCGCCCCGCGUCUCUCGUGUCUCCAAGCGAUCCAGCAGCAACGGAAGAGAGGAAGGAAACGAGCACAUCCGUUGAUCCUAACCAACCAAACAGCCAACCAAGAACCAACCCUAGCUCGACGCGGGGUGUGGGGGCGAAAACUUGUCGCUCACACACACGCCGGCCGACGGCGACGAGCGGGACGGGCCAGCCGCUCUCUCGCCCUCGAUUUUGCGUGCGCGCACAGCAUACAGUCACAUAUAGAGGUGAGGCGCGCCGGGAACCGCUUGCUUUCCGUUGGACGCAAGGUGUGGCGAUCUAUUCGCUGUUGGCACGCGCUCGCUUCCUUCCUGCAUCAAAACCCGGCCAAGACGAAGACGGUGCAGCAAGGAAAAGGAUGCGAGGAUCAGCAGGAAUCUUCCAUCCAUUCCUUUUUUCUUUUUUUGUGAAAGAAUCAUUCAUCCAUCUAUAUUCAUUCAUUCAGCUGCGACGCAUGGAAAUAUAUUUACUCAAAUUUAGAGUAGUAGAGUAG